rnacentral:lncRNA from 1 species
GGCACAAACAGUAUUUUAGCCUCGUGCUCUUUAAAAAUGCUUCUUAAUUGCUAGUAUGCUCAGUAAUUUUAUGUAAGAUCAAAUUAUGUUGUUGGAUCAAAUUUUCAUGUUUAGCAUGAUCUAUAAGAUGAGGAGGGGCUUGCUGCAAGAUAGAAAGGUCAUUUCAACAUCAGAAAGUCGUUGGUUGAGAGUUUUUUUUCUUUUUCUUCCUUACCCAUUUCUUGAUAGUGC